UGAGCCAUGAAGAUCCUUCACCUGUGCUUGGCAGUUCUCUCUUUGCUGCUCCUGGCUUCCCCAGGAUCUGCACAAGACGAUGAACCUAAUAAUGGAUCUGCACAAGACGAUGGACCUAACAAUUAUGACGAGUGUGAAUAUAGCAACGGUAUUUGCAUAGAUGGAGGUUGUCCAGAUAAUUCUCAAGAGAUUGGAAUGUGUGAUGAUGAUCUGUUCUGUUG